rnacentral:tRNA from 1 species
UCUUCGAUGGUCUAGUGGUGAUGAUUUCCGCUUGUCACGCGGGAGACCGGGGUUCGAUUCCCCGUCGGAGAG